rnacentral:rRNA from 1 species
CCUACGGGAGGCAGCAGUGGGGAAUAUUGCACAAUGGGGGAAACCCUGAUGCAGCGACGCCGCGUGAGUGAAGAAGUAAUUCGUUAUGUAAAGCUCUAUCAGCAGGGAAGAAAAUGACGGUACCUGAGUAAGAAGCCCCGGCUAACUACGUGCAAGCAGCCGCGGUAAUACGUAGGGGGCAAGCGUUAGCCGGAUUUACUGGGGGUAACGGGAGCGUAGACGGCAGUGCAAGACUGGAGUGAAAGGCGGGGGCUCAACCCCCGGACUGCUCUGGAAACUGUACGGCUGGAGUGCAGGAGAGGUAAGUGGAAUUCCUAGGGUAGCGGUGAAAUGCGUAGAUAUUAGGAGGAACACCAGUGGCGAAGGCGGCUUACUGGACUGUAACUGACGUUGAGGCUCGAAAGCGUGGGGAGCAAACAGGAUUAGAUACCCUUGUAGUC